AUGGAGGAGAAGAGUGAGGCGUCUUCGGCGUUCUGCGUCAGGGUCUUCACCCUGCAGGAGACGGGGAGGCCUGAGGAGAUGAGCAUCAGUGAGUCGGCCGAGCAGGAGCUGACCCUGCUGUGCACGACCGGAGCAGAGAACCAGCAGAUCACGGUGCUGGAUGGUAUGUACUGGCAGAAAUCAGAUAAAAGAGUAAGUCAAUAAGAAGUAAUGAAUGCAGAGCUGGUAACAAAACUGUUAUUAUUAUUAUCAUUAUUAUUAUUAUUAUUAUGUGCAUUAUCGAUUACUUAUUUUUAGGUGUGUGCAUUGCCAUGAAUCUGACUACACAAUAUAAUUCACGAUUUGCAUGCCACGAUGCGAUAUACAUGCCGAUACUAAACAAUGCCAUAUACAUUGCGAUAUAUCGCGAUUCAUCUUUACAAGUGCAAAAUGAUACGUAAUACAAUUUAUUUAAUUUUCCUUCUAAACUUGCGAGAACAAGUAAAAUCAGGCGUGCCCAAAUUCUUUUCAUCGAAGAGCCAAAAAUGUAUAUAGUUCAAGUUGCAGCACAUGAAAUUAAAUAUGCCAAUAACUUAACUGUGCAAUAGUAAACAAUUAAAGUAGUUUGAAUUUGAAGAACACUUAUAUAAAUGGGACACAACAUACCCCACCUAGACGAUCAAAACACAACAUUUUCCACUCUAAAACACAAUCCUUUAAAACUCGAGAAAAAUAAUGUAAUUGGACAUCAGCUUUAGAAUUUUUUUCUUAUAAAACACAGUACUGUAUUACAUUAUUUUUUGCAUUUUAAAAGAUAUCAAAAAAUGUAAUAAUUUUAAAUAUGGGCAGCGGGCCAAAACUAAUUGCUUGUGAGCCAGUUUUGGCCCCGAAGUAAAUGGUAACUAACAGUAAUUCAAGUACCAAUAUCAAAAACAAGCAGUAUGUUUAUUAAACUGUCAAAUUACAUUUUAACUUUUGCUUAUACGAAAGAUUAUGAUUAUUUUAAGUUCUUAAAUUCUUUUUUUUUUUUUUUUUUUUUUUUUUUUUUAAAGUAACCACAUACAUCUAUAAAAGGUUUUUUUUUUUUUUUCAUUAAAAAAUAUGACUUCAAAAAAUUGAUUUGGACAAUUUUUGGAUCAAUACGAUAAUUGCACUGUAUAUAUCGCCAAAUCAAUUUUUUCUUACACACUUAUUUUUAAUCCUACAAAAUAAAUAUCUGUGCUUUUUCCUUCUUCUUCGUUUU
rnacentral:lncRNA from 1 species